rnacentral:rRNA from 1 species
CACAUGCAAGUCGAACGGUAACAGGUCUUCGGAUGCUGACGAGUGGCGAACGGGUGAGUAAUACAUCGGAACGUGCCUAGUAGUGGGGGAUAACUACUCGAAAGAGUAGCUAAUACCGCAUGAGAUCUACGGAUGAAAGCAGGGGACCUUCGGGCCUUGUGCUACUAGAGCGGCUGAUGGCAGAUUAGGUAGUUGGUGGGGUAAAAGCUUACCAAGCCUGCGAUCUGUAGCUGGUCUGAGAGGACGACCAGCCACACUGGGACUGAGACACGGCCCAGACUCCUACGGGAGGCAGCAGUGGGGAAUUUUGGACAAUGGGCGAAAGCCUGAUCCAGCAAUGCCGCGUGCAGGAUGAAGGCCCUCGGGUUGUAAACUGCUUUUGUACGGAACGAAAAGCCUGGGGCUAAUAUCCCCGGGUCAUGACGGUACCGUAAGAAUAAGCACCGGCUAACUACGUGCCAGCAGCCGCGGUAAUACGUAGGGUGCAAGCGUUAAUCGGAAUUACUGGGCGUAAAGCGUGCGCAGGCGGUUUUGUAAGACAGUGGUGAAAUCCCCGGGCUCAACCUGGGAACUGCCAUUGUGACUGCAAGGCUAGAGUGCGGCAGAGGGGGAUGGAAUUCCGCGUGUAGCAGUGAAAUGCGUAGAUAUGCGGAGGAACACCGAUGG